UUCCUUCAUUCACCUGUUUGUAACACCCUUCACUUUACCGAAAGUAUUAACAACAGAUGAAGCCACUGUGUCUUAAGAAGCUUG